CAUUUUUUCCCGCCUUACCGCACCGAUAGCUACCAAUGCUUUGAAUUUGCCAAAUUUCGAUCUAGGUAUGGUUGAUUUUGUUUUUUCUUUAUGUAAAUCAUAUUAUUGUUUUCCUGUGCGCUCCUAAAACGCGAGACAAAUUUUCGAAGUCGAACAUUCUUCAUUCUCAAACAACAUGAGCUGUGAAAAUCAAUAUUAAAUGUUUCAUAAGAUGCUGGUAGACUGUGCCUGUGCCUAUUUCUUUGAGCUACUGCAUAUAAGAAUGCGUUGAAAUGUUCUCGAACUUUAAAACUUAGCUUUAUUAUAUGCAGUCGUCCACAGUUUUAUGGGUCCUGGUUGCAUAAUCUAAAGUUCCGUGGAUAUAAUAAAGACUGACUUUAUUUGAAAGUGUACAAAACCAUUACAAUGAUAAAAAACAAGAAAGUGCAAAAAUAAUUUCCAGGGUUGCAAGAAAACAGAUGUAAUGAUGAAAAAGGGCGGCGUAUCAGACCAGUACUAGGGCCUCGAUGAGUAUUGUAAAAAAAUGUACUAAUGGAAAUUAACUUGAACUGGUCGAAGUUGAAACGUCGUAACACUUCCAAGGCUUAUGAAUGACUUGAAACUUAUAGUAUACAUAUGUAUAUUGAACAUGCGUUGCAAGGAAGCAGAGAUUUUUCUUUUAGCGUCCCAAAUCGUUUGCAAAGGUAGCUGACUUCUUCAUUUAUAUUGCUUGAGAAAGUAUUAUGAGCUACUGAACUUAAAAAAUAAGGAAGAAUCACUGUGACCAACAGGUGCAAUUUUCGACUGAACAGGAAAUUGAAAAGUAAAGCCCUCUUUCGACAUACAAAGCCUAAACUCUACAAGUCUCAUCAUUCCCGUUGUACUAUAUGGUGAUGAGGGAUGGACAUUCGCAACAACUGAAAGAUAUUGCUAAAAAUGUGUGGUGCUUUGUAGCGAAUACCACGGUCAAUAGAUAGUUCAACGAUACAAGAGACAAUGUCUACGCUGGCUGGUCAUGUUGUUGGAAUGGAUAAGAACAAACCAGCUUUAAAAGUAUUCUAUGCAGUACCCGCCGGUGGAAGCAGAGGAAGAGAAAGUCCUCAACUCCGUUGGAGAGAUCAGAAGGAAAAGGACUUGGCUGCACUUGGUAUCUCCUAUUGGCGCCAAAUACCAAAAAGAAGAAAUAACUGCCGCACUUUAGUUAACUCGCCUUUGAUAAGCGGUGUUUACGCCUGCAAUAAGAAGAAUAAUAUUACAUUUUCCCUUUUUUAUUUCUUUUUUUGUAAAAUUUUCCCGAAAUAUUUCACAUGUUUCUAUUAAAAAUGAGCUGUAUCAAAAAUAUAUGUAAUUUAACGAUUUAUAAAAGUGCUAACUCCAAAACAAAUUGGAAUAAAUCGACUGAGCACAAGUACAUUUAAUUGCUGGUAAAA